rnacentral:rRNA from 1 species
CUACGGGAGGCUGCAGUGGGGAAUAUUGCACAAUGGAGGAAACUCUGAUGCAGCAACGCCGCGUGGAGGAUGACACUUUUCGGAGCGUAAACUCCUUUUAUAUAGGAAGAAGAUGACGGUACUAUAUGAAUAAGCGCCGGCUAACUCCGUGCCAGCAGCCGCGGUAAUACGGAGGGCGCAAGCGUUACUCGGAAUCACUGGGCGUAAAGAGCGUGUAGGCGGAUUAAAAAGUCAGAAGUGAAAUCCUAUAGCUUAACUAUAGAACUGCUUCUGAAACUCUUAAUCUAGAAUAUGGGAGAGGGAAGAGGAAUUUCUGGUGUAGGGGUAAAAUCCGUAGAGAUCAGAAGGAAUACCGAUUGCGAAGGCGAUCUACUAGAACAUUAUUGACGCUGAGACGCGAAAGCGUGGGGAGCAAACAGGAUUAGAUACCCGGGUAGUC